CCCUGAGCCCUUCUUAACUCGGGAUUGCAUUUUCUUGGUUUCCUCAAAGAGGUGAGUUUUUUGUUGCCGCCGAGUCCAAGUAACAGUAAAGGUGUGUGUGUGGCUAAAGGGAUGAAUGUAGGUCUUUGGACAAGUCUUGCUAUUUUUGUGCGUUUGUUGAAACUAGGGCUUAGGUGCCUAGUUAGUGCUGCUCUCUUUUAUUUGCUCAAUUAACAUUGAUUUGUUUGCUGUGUGGUAGGUGGGUAAACUGCCAAGAGUUUUGGACAUUGUUUUAUUCUUUAAGCUGUGUUUAAAGUAAUUUAUCUUGGGGAAUCUUUUUUUUUUCUCUUAAGGAAGAUGUUACUGUUUUUUUUUUUUUUUCUUUUGCUGUCUCUUUUGGUACAGGAAGUUGAUAUUUAACGAUAUGCAAAAUGUUGAAAGCCAAAGGUGCUGUGGUGAACGUAACUUGUUUGUACUUAGAGGUAAAUGAUGUGCACUGUAUUAUAGGGGAGUCAUUCUUGUGCAUGUUCCCCCUAAUAGGAUAAUUUAAAAUGAGGACAAAGCCAGUGUUCGUAGAAAUGCAGCUUUCAUGCUCAUCUGAGUCCUUUGUGGCUUCUUUAGGAAACAAAGAUACGAGCAACAUUGGGACCCAGAUCAUGGAAAACUGACCAGGCAUCUUUUGGUAGCAUGGUUCAUCCCAUGAGAGAAGUGGGGUUUUGCAUGUCAGUGAAUCGAGGUAAUACAAGGAAAACUGAACAUAGUACAGGACUUUGAUACACACCAUGACUUUAUAAGGGACCAGAAGAGUGUUUUUAAGACUGUUUUUGAUAAUGCCUUACAUUUUGUUGGUCAUUUUCACCACAGAAUCACAGUCUCUUGUGUAUUCUGAAAAUAGUCUGUAACAGUGCUGUUCAGUAGAAAUAAAAUGCUCAGAAAUAUGAGCCACAAAAUACAUUUUUUAAUUUUUUUAAAUAUUUUUAUUGACUGCAGAGCGGAAGGGAGAGGAAGAGAUAGAAACAUCAAUGAUGAGAGAGAAUCAUUGAUCGGCUUCCUCCUGCACUUCCCCUACUGGGGAUCAGCCCACAACCCGGGCAUGUGCCCUUGACUGGAAUCAAACCUAUUCGUAGGCCGACACUCUAUCCACUGAGCCAAACUGGCUAGGGCGCAAAAUACAUUUUUUUAAAAGUGAAAAAGAAACAGAUGAAAUUAAUUUUAGUAUUAUUUAACCUAAUUUCAACAUGUAAUUAAUAUAAAAUGACUAAUGUAAUAUUUUCUCUUUUUUUGUACUAACUCUAUGAAAUAUGGUGUAUAUUUUACAUUUAUGAUAUGUUCCAAUUAAGACCAGUCACAUUUCAGGUGCUCAAUAGCUACACGUGGCUGCAGGUAUCUAAUGGGAUAGUGCACACCUCUAACAACUCCCCAGCCCAUUUCCUAGAAUUGCAGUGGUGAGAGAGAAUCAGAGUUCAUCUAAUUCUGUACCCUUCUCAUUUUACUGAGGGGGGACUCAGCUCUGUAGCGUUUAUGCUUUGUCUGAGGCUGUCCAACUAAGCUAUGAAUUGGGUGGGAAAGCCGCCUUGUGCAGAGCUCUUUCUGAUACAGUUAAUAGCCUUUUUAAGAUGACAAAUAGCUUGCUUUUCUAGAUAUGUCUUCCACUGCAUCACCUCUUUUUUUCUUAAUCUUCCAUUCUAAGAAUGUUGGACUGACAACAUGCUCUGUAAUUCCUCGCCUCUUUGCUUCUUUUCAGUCGGUUUUUAUCACCUAUUUAAUAUGUACAUAACACAUAUAUUACAUUAUUUAAUACUCUGUGGGUUGGGUACUAAUAUUUGCCUUGUUUUACAAAUAGGUAACUAAAGCACAGACACAUUAACUUUCCAGAGUCAUGCAGCUAGUAAGUAAAUGGAUGAGCUGGGAUUCAAACCUAGGCAAGUCUGACUCCAGGAUUCAUGUCCGUAACUACCUCUUAUGCUUCCUCUAUGCAAUACCCUUCAUGCCUCUUUUGAGCUUUAGCUCAGAUGCCACUUUCUCCAUGCAGGGUUCCUGGAUUCCAUAGUCAGAAUUAUUAGUAAUGAUUAGAAUUUACAUAGCUACUUACAGUCUUCUGAGCACCUUCAUGCCCAUUCUGUCAUUUACACAAUCCUUGUGAUAGGCAGAGUAGGUACCAAAGCCAGGAAUUGAUGAGGUUUAGGUGAUUUUUACCUCAGUUACUCAGCAGAGUACAUGCCUGAAUUUAAUUGCUAAUAAAAAUUCCCAUUCUUGCCUGGCCAGCAGGGCUCAGUGGUUGAGCUUCGACCCAGGAACCAAGAAAUCACUGGUUCAGUUUCGGGUCAGGGCACAUGCCCAGGUUGCAGGCUCAAUCCCAACUAGGGGGCAGCCAAUAAAUGAUAUUUCUCUGUCCUCAGGGUUUCUAUCUCUAUCUCUCUCACUAAAAAUCAAUAAAAACAUAUUUUUAAAAAUCCCCAUUCUUUCUUUUCUAUAUUGACCUUUUCCCUAUAGUACUUUUACCACUUACAGUAUUCUGUCUUGUCUGAUAGCAAAUGUGUCCAUCUCCACUAUUAGAAUACAAGCUUCUUGAGGACCAGGGUCAUAUCUUUAUUAUAUUCUCUACAGUAUUAGAACAUUGCCUUGUAUGUGAUAGACAAUCAGUUAAUCUAGAUGUGUCUAGAUUUAA